UUCCAGACUCCUACGGGAGGCAGCAGUGAGGAAUAUUGGUCAAUGGCCGAGAGGCUGAACCAGCCAAGUCGCGUGAGGGAUGACGGCCCUACGGGUUGUAAACCUCUUUUGCCGGGGAGCAAGGAGCGGGACGCGUCCCGCCUCGAGAGUACCCGGAGAAAAAGCAUCGGCUAACUCCGUGCCAGCAGCCGCGGUAAUACGUAGGGGGCAAGCGUUAUCCGGAAUUACUGGGUGUAAAGGGAGCGUAGACGGUGAAGUAAGUCUGGAGUGAAAGGCGGGGGCCCAACCCCCGGACUGCUCUGGAAACUAUUUGACUGGAGUGCAGGAGAGGUAAGCGGAAUUCCUAGUGUAGCGGUGAAAUGCGUAGAUAUUAGGAGGAACACCAGUGGCGAAGGCGGCUUACUGGACUGUAACUGACGUUGAGGCUCGAAAGCGUGGGGAGCAAACAGGAUUAGAUACCCCCGUA
rnacentral:rRNA from 1 species